UCCUAAACCCGGUAGUAGCGGCAGCUCCCGAUUUUUUCAUCGGGACUAUAGCGGAUAACGGGACUGCCG
rnacentral:sRNA from 1 species